AACGAACGCUGGCGGCAUGCCUAACACAUGCAAGUCGAACGAGACCUUCGGGACUAUUGGCGCACGGGUGCGUAACGCGUGGGAAUCUGCCCUUGGGUUCGGAAUAACAGUUGGAAACGACUGCUAAUACCGGAUGAUGACGUAAGUCCAAAGAUUUAUCGCCCAAGGAUGAGCCCGCGUAGGAUUAGCUAGUUGGUGAGGUAAAGGCUCACCAAGGCGACGAUCCUUAGCUGGUCUGAGAGGAGGAUCAGCCACACUGAGACUGGGACACGGCCCAGAAUCCUACGGGAGGCAGCAGUGGGGGAUAUUGGAAAAUGGGCGAAAGGCUGAUCCAGCUAUGCCGCGUGAGUGAUGAAGGCAGUAGGGUUGUAAAGCUCUUUUAACCGGGAUGAUAAUGACAGUACCGGGAGAAUAAGCUCCGGCUAACUCCGUG
rnacentral:rRNA from 1 species